rnacentral:rRNA from 1 species
AAGAUGUAACGGGGCUAAACCAUGCACCGAAGCUGCGGCAGCGACGCUGAUGCGUUGUUGGGUAGGGGAGCGUUCUGUAAGCCUGCGAAGGUGUGCUGUGAGGCAUGCUGGAGGUAUCAGAAGUGCGAAUGCUGACAUAAGUAACGAUAAAGCGGGUGAAAAGCCCGCUCGCCGGAAGACCAAGGGUUCCUGUCCAACGUUAAUCGGGGCAGGGUGAGUCGACCCCUAAGGCGAGGCCGAAAGGCGUAGUCGAUGGGAAACAGGUUAAUAUUCCUGUACUUGGUGUUACUGCGAAGGGGGGACGGAGAAGGCUAUGUUGGCCGGGCGACGGUUGUCCCGGUUUAAGCGUGUAGGCUGGUUUUCCAGGCAAAUCCGGAAAAUCAAGGCUGAGGCGUGAUGACGAGGCACUGCGGUGCUGAAGCAACAAAUGCCCUGCUUCCAGGAAAAGCCUCUAAGCAUCAGGUAACAUCAAAUCGUACCCCAAACCGACACAGGUGGUCAGGUAGAGAAUACCAAGGCGCUUGAGAGAACUCGGGUGAAGGAACUAGGCAAAAUGGUGCCGUAACUUCGGGAGAAGGCACGCUGAUAUGUAGGUGAAGUCCCUCGCGGAUGGAGCUGAAAUCAGUCGAAGAUACCAGCUGGCUGCAACUGUUUAUUAAAAACACAGCACUGUGCAAACACGAAAGUGGACGUAUACGGUGUGACGCCUGCCCGGUGCCGGAAGGUUAAUUGAUGGGGUUAGCGCAAGCGAAGCUCUUGAUCGAAGCCCCGGUAAACGGCGGCCGUAACUAUAACGGUCCUAAGGUAGCGAAAUUCCUUGUCGGGUAAGUUCCGACCUGCACGAAUGGCGUAAUGAUGGCCAGGCUGUCUCCACCCGAGACUCAGUGAAAUUGAACUCGCUGUGAAGAUGCAGUGUACCCGCGGCAAGACGGAAAGACCCCGUGAACCUUUACUAUAGCUUGACACUGAACAUUGAGCCUUGAUGUGUAGGAUAGGUGGGAGGCUUUGAAGUGUGGACGCCAGUCUGCAUGGAGCCGACCUUGAAAUACCACCCUUUAAUGUUUGAUGUUCUAACGUUGACCCGUAAUCCGGGUUGCGGACAGUGUCUGGUGGGUAGUUUGACUGGGGCGGUCUCCUCCUAAAGAGUAACGGAGGAGCACGAAGGUUGGCUAAUCCUGGUCGGACAUCAGGAGGUUAGUGCAAUGGCAUAAGCCAGCUUGACUGCGAGCGUGACGGCGCGAGCAGGUGCGAAAGCAGGUCAUAGUGAUCCGGUGGUUCUGAAUGGAAGGGCCAUCGCUCAACGGAUAAAAGGUACUCCGGGGAUAACAGGCUGAUACCGCCCAAGAGUUCAUAUCGACGGCGGUGUUUGGCACCUCGAUGUCGGCUCAUCACAUCCUGGGGCUGAAGUAGGUCCCAAGGGUAUGGCUGUUCGCCAUUUAAAGUGGUACGCGAGCUGGGUUUAGAACGUCGUGAGACAGUUCGGUCCCUAUCUGCCGUGGGCGCUGGAGAACUGAGGGGGGCUGCUCCUAGUACGAGAGGACCGGAGUGGACGCAUCACUGGUGUUCGGGUUGUCAUGCCAAUGGCACUGCCCGGUAGCUAAAUGCGGAAGAGAUAAGUGCUGAAAGCAUCUAAGCACGAAACUUGCCCCGAGAUGAGUUCUCCCUGACUCCUUGAGAGUCCUGAAGGA